rnacentral:rRNA from 1 species
CAGAUCCUACGGGAGGCAGCAGUAGGGAAUUUUCGGCAAUGGGCGCAAGCCUGAACGAGCAAUGCCGCGUGAACGAGGAAGGUCUUCGGAUCGUAAAGUUCUGUUGAAGGGGAAAAAGAGCGGAGAGAGGAAAUGAACUCCGAUUGAUAUUACCCUUCGAGGAAGUCACGGCUAACUACGUGCCAGCAGCCGCGGUAAUACGUAGGUGGCGAGCGUUAUCCGGAAUGAUUGGGCGUAAAGGGUGCGUAGGCGGCCUGCUAAGUCUGGAG